rnacentral:lncRNA from 1 species
GAGGCAAAACUCUGGAUCGGAGGUUGUUUUCUCCCAGGAACAGGGAACUACUGCCCCCUGGAGGAUAAAAAGAAUCUCUCACUGCCCCGACUGGAAAAUCGGAAAGUCAUAGGAUUUACCUCAGAGAAUUAUGAUGAGGAGUCUUACUCUGAGACUGUUCAGUCUCUCGCGGCUUGCUGGGGGUCUGCGGCUGCUGAGUAUAAUUGUUGCCGCCUGUUGCUGCAAAUCCCCCUACAUUGCUGGUGCUGUAAGAGGUCAGACUCCCCUGCAGAGCCCCAGGAGCAGGCCCCAGUCUAAGGUGAGUGUAUUGCCUAUGAGUCUCUAAAGGAGACCCCCUCUGGGUGUCGGGGCUGGAGGCGAUGGGCUAUAACCAUAUGGGAAAAUCCUGAUGUUUGGCCACCCGGGACGGUAGGGCGCUGCCUUUUCCUCCUCAGCCAGCACCAGGGCGAGGAUCAGGUCCUAAUGUUCCCUGGGCCCUCGGACCCUUUAAUCCACAGAA